rnacentral:rRNA from 1 species
AAAAUUAAAAUAAAUAGAGCCGAAGAACCUCAAGUCAGUUAUACGCCCUCGAGACCCCGAAGCACAACUACGAAAGUGGCUCCACCUAAUUUCUGAUUCCACGAAAGCCGUAGAACAAACUGGGAUUAGAUACCCCACUAUGUACGGUUGUUAAAAUUGAUGGUCCUAUACACCGACCAUCCGCCUGGGAAUUACGAGCAACAGCUUAAAACCCAAAGGAUUUGGCGGUGCUUUAAACCCCCCUAGAGGAGCCUGUUCUGUAACUGAUAACCCCCGUUAAACCUCACCAUCCCUUGUUUAAUCCGCCUAUAUACCACCGUCGUAAGCUUACCCUGUGAAGGAGUAACAGUUAGCGCAGAUGGCAAAGCCAAGAACGUCAGGUCGAGGUGUAGCGUAUGAGAUGGGAAGAAAUGGGCUACAUUCUCUGCUUUAGAGAAUACGAAUGGUCAAUUUGAAAAAGAUUACCUGAAGGAGGAUUUAGUAGUAAGUAGAGAACAGAGUGCCCUACUGAAAAAGGCCCUGAAGCACGCACAUACCGCCCGUCACUCUCUCCGA